UUGAACGCUGGCGGCAGGCCUAACACAUGCAAGUCGAGCGGUAACACAGAGAGCUUGCUCUCGGGUGACGAGCGGCGGACGGGUGAGUAAUGUCUGGGAAACUGCCUGAUGGAGGGGGAUAACUACUGGAAACGGUAGCUAAUACCGCAUAACGUCGCAAGACCAAAGUGGGGGACCUUCGGGCCUCAUGCCAUCAGAUGUGCCCAGAUGGGAUUAGCUAGUAGGUGGGGUAACGGCUCACCUAGGCGACGAUCCCUAGCUGGUCUGAGAGGAUGACCAGCCACACUGGAACUGAGACACGGUCCAGACUCCUACGGGAGGCAGCAGUGGGGAAUAUUGCACAAUGGGCGCAAGCCUGAUGCAGCCAUGCCGCGUGUGUGAAGAAGGCCUUCGGGUUGUAAAGCACUUUCAGCGGGGAGGAAGGCGGUGAGGUUAAUAACCUCAUCGAUUGACGUUACCCGCAGAAGAAGCACCGGCUAACUCCGUGCCAGCAGCCGCGGUAAUACGGAGGGUGCAAGCGUUAAUCGGAAUUACUGGGCGUAAAGCGCACGCAGGCGGUCUGUCAAGUCGGAUGUGAAAUCCCCGGGCUCAACCUGGGAACUGCAUUCGAAACUGGCAGGCUAGAGUCUUGUAGAGGGGGGUAGAAUUCCAGGUGUAGCGGUGAAAUGCGUAGAGAUCUGGAGGAAUACCGGUGGCGAAGGCGGCCCCCUGGACAAAGACUGACGCUCAGGUGCGAAAGCGUGGGGAGGAAACAGGAUUAGAUACCCUGGUAGUCCACGCCGUAAACGAUGUCGAUUUGGAGGUUGUGCCCUUGAGGCGUGGCUUCCGGAGCUAACGCGUUAAAUCGACCGCCUGGGGAGUACGGCCGCAAGGUUAAAACUCAAAUGAAUUGACGGGGGCCCGCACAAGCGGUGGAGCAUGUGGUUUAAUUCGAUGCAACGCGAAGAACCUUACCUGGUCUUGACAUCCACAGAACUUUCCAGAGAUGGAUUGGUGCCUUCGGGAACUGUGAGACAGGUGCUGCAUGGCUGUCGUCAGCUCGUGUUGUGAAAUGUUGGGUUAAGUCCCGCAACGAGCGCAACCCUUAUCCUUUGUUGCCAGCGGUUAGGCCGGGAACUCAAAGGAGACUGCCAGUGAUAAACUGGAGGAAGGUGGGGAUGACGUCAAGUCAUCAUGGCCCUUACGACCAGGGCUACACACGUGCUACAAUGGCAUAUACAAAGAGAAGCGACCUCGCGAGAGCAAGCGGACCUCAUAAAGUAUGUCGUAGUCCGGAUUGGAGUCUGCAACUCGACUCCAUGAAGUCGGAAUCGCUAGUAAUCGUAGAUCAGAAUGCUACGGUGAAUACGUUCCCGGGCCUUGUACACACCGCCCGUCACACCAUGGGAGUGGGUUGCAAAAGAAGUAGGUAGCUUAACCUUCGGGAGGGCGCUUACCACUUUGUGAUUCAUGACUGGGGUG
rnacentral:rRNA from 1 species